rnacentral:rRNA from 1 species
AAUAGAACCCGGGUAGUCCACGCCGUAAACGAUGAAUGCUAGGUGUUAGGGGUUUCGAUACCCUUGGUGCCGAAGUUAACACAUUAAACAUUCCGCCUGGGGAGUACGGUCGCAAGACUGAAACUCAAAGGAAUUGACGGGGACCCGCACAAGCAGUGGAGUAUGUGGUUUAAUUCGAAGCAACGCGAAGAACCUUACCAGGUCUUGACAUCCCUCUGAUCGGUCUAGAGAUAGACCUUUCCUUCGGGACAGAGGAGACAGGUGGUGCAUGGUUGUCGUCAGCUCGUGUCGUGAGAUGUUGGGUUAAGUCCCGCAACGAGCGCAACCCUUAUGCUUAGUUGCCAGCAGGUCAAGCUGGGCACUCUAAGCAGACUGCCGGUGACAAACCGGAGGAAGGUGGGGAUGACGUCAAAUCAUCAUGCCCCUUAUGACCUGGGCUACACACGUACUACAAUGGCCGGUACAACGGGAAGCGAAAUCGCGAGGUGGAGCCAAUCCUAGAAAAGCCGGUCUCAGUUCGGAUUGUAGGCCGCAACUCGCCUAC